rnacentral:lncRNA from 1 species
AUGACGGAGAGCGUGCGUCACCAUGACGUCACGUGUUCGCCUCCGUUUCGCACGCUUCGAGAUGUCACCUCACGCACUUCAAGCGCUUUGCUGCUCGUUGGAAGUCGAAUGAAGCAACUCUUGCCAGUUUGGACUGAUUCCUGCAGCUGCGAAUCUGCAACCGCAUCAACUGGGGGGGGGGGGGGGGGGGGGGGGGGGGGGGGGGGGGGGGGGGGGGGGGGGAGCUCUCAAAUCCACAGAGAAGCGACGUUUUUUGGCAUCUUUUCAUGGCGUCCAAUUUGCAGCCGACUCUGCAGAUGCCGCUGUUGUUGCUGCUGGCGCUUGUCCUGUUGCCCGCGACAUCUCAUGGCGAUCAUGUCAACGUGGUGUUGUUGGGGGCAACUGGAGACCUGGCCAGACGCCGAUUGUGGCCGGGCCUGUUCUCCGUGUACUGCAAUUUGUCCGCACCGCCACGAUCGCACUUCACCUUCUCCUUCUUUGGUGCAAGUCGAAAUGGCGGAGCGGAGAGCGAGGCUCGAUUGUUUCGGACGAUACGUGAAGGGGGGCUGCGGUGCCCACCUGAAAUUGGUGCCCGUGAACCGUUGUGUCAGCUACUCAGGUGAAAUAUUCUUCUUGCUCUGCCACCGAUAUUUAUGUUGCUGGUCAUGAUAUGCCUGCAAAUUUAACCCACACUUUUUAUUCUGUCCCACUCGUAUUGUUUAUAGGGAGCAGUUUAUGCGGUUGGUGCGGUCUGUGCGGUUACACCUUCCUCAGGACUAUAUUGACCUGUGUUCAAACUUGGGAACAGAAGUGGCACAGGAAGGCCUGGUGGAGGCUGGUCGCCUUUUCUACCUCUCCGUUCCACCAACUGCCUACGCAGAUAUUGUCAGCAACAUCUCUGCUGCCUGCCGUCCUCCAAAUGGGGUAAAGUUGGUACAAUAGGUGCAAAGUACAAAGUGAUGCAAAAUAUAUCUACAUAUGUAAAAAUUAGAAUGCCAGGUGUUGGCUUUGCAGUAAAGGUGGCUGGCUUAGGAUCUUUGGGUCCUCAGUUCAAGCCCUGUUCGCUGCUGAAAUAACACCAGGUGGGGUUGACUCAGCCUGUCAUCCUUCCGAGGUUGGCGGAAUGAGUACCAGUGGACUGGUGGAGGGGCACAGCAUUAGCGGCACAGCCAUGCUUCCAAUAAAUGACAGCUACCCAGCAGCCAAGCUGCCAUAUGCAAGAACAGAACAGAAGAAUUAGAAUGGCAUUCGGUAGAGCGCAUGCCUCUGCCAGGCUGAACAGUUUACCUUUUGUAUCCCACUGAUGGGCCGGAUCUGAAUGCGGACUUGAACCAAAAAAUAAAAUCGGUUUGUUCUUGUUAUCUAACCAACUCUUCCACCAAGGUUUGUCAUAAUCCGUCCACAACUUUUUUUAAACAUCGUGUUUUUAUAGUUUUUUCCCCAUCUCUCAAUUAUGAAGAAUCAAUAAACUAGAAGUUCACUCGGUAGAGCUCAUACCGAUGCCGCGCAAUGCCUGAUCCACGAGAACAUAUCAGGCCCAAUACAUUUUUGAAAUAUGCGAUACAGUCCGAUAUCGUUUUUGGCCCUAUAUCUCAAUGGUGAAGAAUCACUUUAACCAGAGUUGGUGUCAAAGCCACCCAAUGCUCGCCUGUUUAUACAUUUAUCGUUUUUAAAAGACUAGUCUAAUAUAAUUAAUAUAUUUUUAUAAAGCAUUGCAGUGAAGUCUGAUCCAAAUAAUUUUAAAGCAAUAUAUGUAUUUGUAUAUUGCAAUCAGUAACAAGAGCGCAAGUGAGCAGAAUAUAUGCCCGGACAAGAAGGUAUAUACAGAAUUGUGCUACGACAUAGAAAACAGCAUCCUGGUUGCCAUGGCAACGACUUUAGAUGACUAACUUAUUGCAUGACACACCGUCUCCACAGUCUAUACCUUUGUACCAAAUAUGAAAUGUGAAAGUUGAAAACUUUGGGAGUUCGAGUGCGGACAGGAACGGAUGCAAAACAGCAUCCGGGUUGCCAUGGCAACCACUUUAGAUGACGAACCUAUGUGCGACACACCGUCUCCACAGUCUGUACCUCGGUACCAAAGAUGAAACGUGAAAGUUGAAAACUUUGGGAGUUAGAGUCGGACAGGAACGGACGGACGACAUCACAUAAUACGCCCC